rnacentral:rRNA from 1 species
UGCAAGUCGAGCGCCCCGCAAGGGGAGCGGCAGACGGGUGAGUAACGCGUGGGAAUCUACCCUUCUCUACGGAACAACUCCGGGAAACUGGAGCUAAUACCGUAUACGCCCUUCGGGGGAAGGAUUUAUCGGAGAUGGAUGAGCCCGCGUUGGAUUAGCUAGUUGGUGAGGUAAAGGCUUACCAAGGCGACGAUCUGUAGCGGGUCUGAGAGGAUGAUCCGCCACACUGGAACUGAGACACGGUCCAGACUCCUACGGGAGGCAGCAGUGGGGAAUUCUGGACAAUGGGGGCAACCCUGAUCCAGCCAUGCCGCGUGAGUGAAGAAGGCCUUCGGGUUGUAAAGCUCUUUCGGCCGGGAAGAAAUCGCAUGGGCCAAUACCCUGUGUGGAUGACGGUACCGGAAUAAGAAGCACCGGCUAACUACGUGCCAGCAGCCGCGGUAAUACGUAGGGUGCGAGCGUUAAUCGGAAUUACUGGGCGUAAAGCGUGCGCAGGCGGUUUUGUAAGACAGGCGUGAAAUCCCCGGGCUUAACCUGGGAACUGCGUUUGUGACUGCAAGGCUAGAGUACGGCAGAGGGGGGUGGAAUUCCACGUGUAGCAGUGAAAUGCGUAGAGAUGUGGAGGAACACCAAUGGCGAAGGCAGCCCCCUGGGUCGAUACUGACGCUCAUGCACGAAAGCGUGGGUAGCAAACAGGAUUAGAUACCCUGGUAGUCCACGCCCUAAACUAUGUCAACUAGGUGUUGGGUGGGUAAAACCAUUUAGUACCGUAGCUAACGCGUGAAGUUGACCGCCUGGGGAGUACGGCCGCAAGGUUAAAACUCAAAGGAAUUGACGGGGACCCGCACAAGCGGUGGAUGAUGUGGAUUAAUUCGAUGCAACGCGAAAAACCUUACCUACCCUUGACAUGCCAGGAACUUGCCAGAGAUGGCUUGGUGCCCGAAAGGGAGCCUGGACACAGGUGCUGCAUGGCUGUCGUCAGCUCGUGUCGUGAGAUGUUGGGUUAAGUCCCGCAACGAGCGCAACCCUUGUCGUUAAUUGCCAUCAUUUAGUUGGGCACUUUAGCGAGACUGCCGGUGACAAACCGGAGGAAGGUGGGGAUGACGUCAAGUCCUCAUGGCCCUUAUGGGUAGGGCUUCACACGUCAUACAAUGGUCGGUACAAAGGGUUGCCAAGCCGCGAGGCGGAGCCAAUCCCAGAAAGCCGAUCGUAGUCCGGAUUGCAGGCUGCAACUCGCCUGCAUGAAGUCGGAAUCGCUAGUAAUCGUGGAUCAGCAUGUCACGGUGAAUACGUUCCCGGGUCUUGUACACACCGCCCGUCACACCAUGGGAGCGGGUUCCGCCAGAAGUAGGUAGCCUAACCGCAAGGGGGGCGCUUACCACGGCGGGGUUCGUGACUGGGGUGAAGUCGAAACAAGGUA